rnacentral:lncRNA from 1 species
ACCCCCAAAUCUCCACCUUCAUCCUGAUCGUCUCCUAAAAGGUCGUAUCCUCCGAUCGUAGCUGAUCGUAACCAUUCAAGUUAACGUGUCGAUUUACACCGACUUCUUUCCGUUCCUCUGCGGAUCGCCGGACUCCUCAGCUGAUCACAAGAGUUCUAUUUUUUCUGGACGCCGGAGCAUGGCGGAUAAAUUCAGCACAGAUUAACCCGUGCUGGAAAGGAAGUCGGGCACAGACACAAAAUAAAACAUCCGGAGACGAACAAGUGAAAGGUUUUUAGACGUCAUUUCACCCCGAUGACACCAUGGAUGAGGAGAUGCUGAUUCUAGAAGUCUAGAAGUAGAUUUCCUCCUCUGGAAGGACACAAUCUACUGCUUAUAUGUCUAUGUGUCUGUCUUUACAGAGACAACUCGUUAUCGCGCGAUUGAACGUGAAUCCGCAGGUUCUUGUGAGUUCUCCGCCUCACAAACAGAUCAAGCAGGAAUUAGCGGAUGGCGAAAUUCACUGGAUCAGACCCAUUUGGGAUGCAGUGAAAAUUGGGGGUAAAUCAGUCAACGCGGCUCUACACUGAGCUCUUCGCUCCUCUCCUCGCCUCCUCACAUACCAUCCUUUGACUCACACGGGAACACGCCUGUGCAGGUUAGCUGCUCAGGACUUGGCGAGGUGUUUUAACAGAACCAGAGGAGAUCAGAGAGUCAGACAUAUGUGUCUAUAGAUUAAGAGAAAACCCCCGCUCCUGUGUGUCUGAACACGUCAACUCAAACAUCUUGUAUAAUCAUCUGUCGAGUCUUCAGGGGCGAGGUUUUCUGCGGACUCGUCCUUUAAAGUCUUUCACAAUAAACUGGAAUAGCAUCGGCUCAUCCAUAGCAACCCUUCGCCUUUCCUUUUGCCGCUUCACCACCUUGCACGUUAUUUCAACUUUGACCUCUUCGGCCAGAAGUCACGACCCUCACUCAUUGUCUGAAGAGGAUCCAAAUCCAGGAGUCGGGUCCAAAAGAGACCCUCUUGAAUAAAAAUAAAUAGUAAUUGAUUCCUGGGAUUCCUCAGAGUCAAGUCUUAAAGCAGUCAAUAAAAGUUUCUAACAGACUCAGCUGCUCACUGUAUGAGCAACAAUGGGCCCAGAUUGGGACGCUCCGACGCUUUUGUUUCUCUCCAGCUUUUCCGCUGAAUGACACACAAUAGGAAGGAAUGCAUCGGCUUCUGCUCGAGUGCUAAACCCAAUCAGGGUGAUAACAAUGAGCUUUAAAGGACUCAGGGAGUCUUAAACUAUCCUCAGCUCAGCAUCAGAUUAGCAUGUUACUAUCUAACCCCCUGUGGGCCGGGCCGGGCCGCCAUUCAUGAGCAGUACGAGGCUAACACUAAACAACAACAACAACAACACUGACAACACUGACUCACAAACCCAUCAGCACAGAGAUAUAUUCAUGAUGUUUCAGUCAGCAGAGAACAAACCCAUGAAUAAAUCAGGCGGCUGCAUUGAGACGUCUCUGUCAGCAAACAGGAAGUUACUCAGCGCUGAGGGGGGGGGGCAGAAAAUGAGGAUCGGGGUCUGAAUAUAAAAACACUUUGGAUCUUUGUCAACAAAGAAAAAAUGAUUUAAUUCUUCGUCUUUAUGAAGAGUUUUAAAAAUCUGUUUUUAAAAUGAGUUUUUAAGUUUGCUGUUAAAUCGAUCAUGACCCACAGAAACAGAAAUGACCGUCAGAAGAACGUUUUUAGAUUGAGUUAAUUUCAUUUCUAAAGUUAAUGGUGUUAAAGUUAAAGUUAAAGUGACGGUGUAGUCGUGAAGAGGUUUUUAUUCAUGUUCCGGGGUAAAUUUUCACAAUCAAACUGAAGAUUUUUAUUUUAAAACAGACGCUCAAUGACCUCUUUUCAUCGGUUUAAAUCAGCCCUGUCUUCUUACUCUGAGUUAAAAUGUUUCAGAUGAUGUGAUAACAGUAUUAUCUGUAACAGACUGUCAUUUCGAUUUGAUUAUUAGGUUAUUGUCAUACAUUUCACUGGGCAACUGUUAUGGCUGUUUGUGGCCAUCAAGAGGUUUUUUUCCUUUUUGUACAGUUUUUUUUGUGUGUUGUUGUUGUCUGUUGUCUUUGUUGUGUAUGUUUGUAGACUGUUAAAUGUGUUUUGUCUCUUUUUUUGGUUUCUAAUGUAUUUUAGGACGCCUUCGAAAACGAGACGAUUCCUCUUAAGCGGUUUAUCCUUCAACCUACUGAAGGUAUGAAGGAAAAUUUUGUAAACCUGGAGAACAAACUGAGAAAAUCUGGACUUUUUACAUUUCUAACAGUUCGUUCAGAGAUUGGAGUGAGUUUGGGACUUUCACUCCAGUCUUGACUGAAACUCAAACCAGAGAUCAGUGUCAUGUCUGUAUGUUUUACACUUUAGUGAAGCUCAGCUGUUUGGGUCAGAUUUACAUCACUGUGAUUGGGACGUGGAGAUGAAGUGAAGCCCUAGUGGCGUGUUGAGGUACUGCAGUCUCUGACUCUGUAAAUGAAGUUUAUAAUCACUCAGUAUUUUAAUUAGAUUUCAAUCAACACUGACUCUUUAAAAUGAGACACCAGGAUGUGAAUUAUGUCAUUAGGAGGAUUGAGGUUAUGCAACACACACACACACACACACACACACACACACACACACACACACACACACUCUAAGCACACAUCCCAUUUAUCACAGUCAAAACACUCUCGGACCAAGGACCCUCACAGCUCUGUUCACAGGAAUGCAGAGAAAAGGGGAACUGGUCUGAUAAGAGGCUGUUUUCUUAUGAUGGGUGUGUGUGUGUGUGUGUGUGUGUGUGUGUGUGUGUGUGUGUGUGUGUGUGUGUGUGUGUGUGUGUGUGUGAGAUAUCUUGUUAUGCUAACCAUUUGUUUUACUGGAUGAGAACAUGUGAUGUGUCUGGGUCUGUAUCUGUAUUCCCAUUACGACAUGCGCCGUGGUGCCAUGAGAAAAGUAUUCCUGCCCACCGCCGCCGCCUGAGGAACAGACCCAAGGCUGACCCGCUGAGACCGAGCCGGGCCGGGCCGGGGUGUCUCUGGGUCUCUGUCAGAGUCUCCGAUUUACCGCACUGCCACUUCAUGUAAUUAAAAAAGAGCAUCAUCACCACCAAACCUCAUUUUUCAGCAGCUCCUUUAUUUCUCACUCCUCUCUCCAUCUCUUAUACGUUGAAAGGCCCCGCCCCCGCCUCCCCCCCCCCCUCGCCGCUCCUGCCUUUCUGUGCAGAGGGUCGCUGACAAAAGGAAUUGUGCAAACGAGCCUUUAAAAUCCCUAAAUGGUUGUGGUCGGCUCACAAUGGCCCAAAGAAUGCGGCGCUGGACAAAGGCCGGCCCUUGCCCCGCCACUCCGCCCUGCCGUGAUGGAUCCGAACGGACGCAUGAACGUGGGCUGGAUUUGGGACUGCGGAGGCGCCACCUCGCCCCCCACUGGGCCGACCAAAAGGGACAGGCCUCUGGGAUACACUGGAACCCCAGCCAAGGGCCUCAAAACAAUCAUGAGCUGCUAACUAGCCUCGCCAUCCAUAGGCCUUGAUUGAUAUGGGAAACGCAUGCUUGCUCCUCCAUACAGCUCCCACCAUCACUCUUUAUCAUCCUCAAAGCCUGAAAUUAUUCGGCCUUUCAGAGCCGGCGCUGCAGAGUCCAUGUGGGCAGCCAUUAAACGCUGAUUUUCUGUAUGUAACGGGUUUAUAUGAGGGUUUAUGAAGAGCCAGUGAGCCUCAGAACCACGAAACGAAUGGCAGAGAAGUCUGAAAGAGUCAUCGUGAAAUCAGACAAUGAAGGCUGUGAGUGUUUUAUUACUGAGGACGGCUAACACUGAUCUGCAUGGUUGGAGAAUAUGGAGAAUGGACUCUGACAUCUCUGAUUAAAGCAGGAGGCGCUCAGACUGGAAAACAGAUCAGAAACACUCUUUAAGGUUUCGCUGUAAACACCACAGCUUCAAGUUCCUCCUCCUCCUCCUCCGUCCACUUCUUCACUUUGUUGUUUUUCCAGAGUAAAAAGGACAAAAACAGAAUCUGUUAUGAGUUCCCAGUUCACCUGCUCUUCCUGUGUUUGAGCUCCUCAAAGAAACUCAGACGUGAACAAAGUGCUGAGCGCAGAUCUGCGUCGAAGUGUUUGACUCCAUCUCCGCAGAAUAACAGCUCAAAGGAAAACAAACGCAACAAAACAUGAAGACUGGACUUAUGUAAUCCAGGUCCAGGAUGCAGCUGCAGAGCGAGGAGGAGGAGGAGGACAUCCUCCAGGAGUCCGAUCGGCAGCUGAUUUCCUCCAUCCUCCUGGAGCGGUGAGGAACGUCAGCAGAGGACUCACAAACCGAAGCUCCGGUUUCUUUAGACUUAAAGCCUUCAGGUCCGAAGAUUUUCUGUUUCCUCACUUUAGACGAACAACGGUUCGACUUCUGGAGAUUCAAAAAACUGCAGCAAAUUUCAGGGAAGUAAAAAGGUGAUAAAGGAGAAAUAAAGACUGUAAUUACAGAUAAGGAAGCAAGGAGUGUAGAACAUUUGAAAAACUCUCUCCAGGUUUACAUCAUCGACAACAAGGAAUAAAAACGACUGUUUUCUUUCUCGACUAAAAUCAAACUCCUCAAAGUCCAAACAUCGGGACUCUUUCUGGUCGUCCUAGUGGUUAAAGGUUCUGGUUCUGACCCGGGUUUAUGUCUCUCUCAAUCAAACGUUUAGAGAAAACGGUGGUGAACAGUUUGGUGGAGAAUUUGAGAGGAUUACAGUUACAAAAACAGGAGAACAGAUCUGAUUAUGAAUUCUCAAUUAUCUAUUAUAGUUUUCCAGCUCUCCUGUACUCUAAAGUACUGUCAUGUUUUAUAUGAUGUUUUAAUGUAUUCUAUUGUAUUUGUUUUUAAUGUACUUUAAUCUUAUUUCAAUUUAAAUCUUUUAUUUUAUAAUGUUCUGUAUUCUGUGUUUAUUGUAAGGCGAUCUUGAGUUCCUUGAAAGGAGACCUAACAAAUAAAAUGUGUUAUUACUAUUAUUAUUAUUACUAUUAUUAUUAUUAUUAUUAUUAUUAUUGUUAUUAUUAUUGUUCUGAAUGUCUCUAAAUGUUUAUAAAAAUGAGGUCGUCUGAGAAUCAGAGCUCUGUAGCUGCACCUCUCUCUCUCUCUCUCCCUCUCUCUCUCCCUCUCUCUCUCUCUCUCUCUCUCUCUUUCUCAUAAAUCCAUCUCUCUCUCUUUCAUUUCUCUCUCUCUCCUCGGACAUGUUCAGUUUCACUUUCUCUCACACUCUCCUGGCAAUAAGUCGUAAAAGUCCAAACGUCCAAACUCGUUCCUGUCGGCGUUGGCGUUUAUUGGAGCCUGAUGUGAUAAGAUACGUGAAGGACAAAAAAAGUCGGAGCUCUUUUGAAGUUCUCCGAGGACAAUAGGGUUUAUUGAGUUUUAGUCGUCUUCAGUAAAAUAAAGUGUAGAUGUGGAGCUGGGAGUUUAUCGACUUAAGGGCGGGACAACCUGCUGAUACGGUCAUUUACCGUCAUCCUGACCCGUGCAGGAUCACUCACUGAAGAGGGGACGUGUACUCUCAGGAUGAUCAGGUGUUGAGAUCUUUCACUGGGAUUGUCUCAGAGAUUAUAAUCUGAAUUAUGAAGAGGUCGGCUGUUACAGAGACACAAAUGUCCUCUUUAAAAACAGGCUAUCUUAACGGGUAAAAACACUAAAAGCAGAGAUAAAAGGAUCAGCAGGUAAAGGACGUCCUCAAACCUGUGUUUGUUGUGCAUUAGUAUGAAAAUGUGGUCAAGUGUCAGUUUAAGAUAAAAAGCCGACUUCAGCCUGAACCUCUCAGCGGUCUGUGUUCGUUUACAUCCAGGUAGUGGAGCGUUAAAGCAGCGUGGUUUUUUACUUCCUAAAGUGACGAGUGCAGCGAACGGCGUUUGUCUGACUCAGUACGUUUCCGUGACACUCAAGUAAACCGAAUUAUCGCCUUAUUCCGAUUAGUCCAUAGUCUAUCUAUAAUUGACAACUCUAAUUAAAGUCAGAGACCUCCGAUUUAGACACCCAGAUAAAGCGAUUGGAAUUCGAUUUUCUCUACCAUGUAACCAGCGUAGUCGGAGUAUGAUCGGACAAUGCAUGUGUGUGUACGCCACGCCCCCGUAACCCCCCAGAGUAGAGGAGUAGCGUUGGUCUCCUCUUUAGAAAAAGUAGCGCGUCCAUCAUGUCGGACAAAAACAACGCUGUACGAUGCUCCAUCUUCUUGUUUCUCCAAAAUGCCCAGCAGCAGUUGUAGACACUUCUGACGUCUGACACCGACCUGCUGUUGUUGUUGACGGUUGGACGGGGUCGUACGGUCCCCAGAGUGACUAUGAGGCUGCUGAUUGGACGCCCUGUCCUGGUUAUGACAUCAUGAGUGACCCUGUAAUAAUCUCACAUGGAUCCAAACGCCUCGUCCUUGUAUCUGCAGAUCCCUCGGGCCCGGGUCUUCCUCACAAUGGUGGUAUUUUCUGGUCCUGACUUCAUAUCCUGCCCCUGUUUUUGUCUUAUUUGACCGGGGGCCCCCCCGGCCCCCUCAGGGGAACAUGCACCCCAAUCUAUGUAAAUCCCUGUCCAUACGUGGGCCGCACUUAGAUUACAUAACUGCAGCAGCGUCCAAUCAAAGAGGGUCGGGAGUUUAAUCUUUAAUUCAGAACAAAGACAACAUUCAUUCAUUCAUGAGAGCAGGAAGAAGAACUGAUAACACGUUAAUGUUUCACCAGGUUUCAUGUCCUCCUCUCAACUUUCCUUUCACUUCUUAUAACUCACACACACACACACACACACACCAGUGCACACCCACACACACGCCCACUCAGGACCCCUCCCUGCACUUGUUUUAUUGCUGUGAGUGGGUGGUGUUACUGAUACCUCUCGGAUUCAUACGCCUGUUUGAAGUCGGAUCAGUUUUCCAGCUGCACACAUGCCACUCACCCAGAUCUCCACCCACAGACACAGUCAUGCCACCACCCCCCUCCACCGCUCCUCCACCCCCGACUUUAACUGGAAAUAGGUCCAAGAAUGUGGAAGAAGACCGGACCUGAACGGAUCACUACGAGGACUACCGGGACACCAAAAAGACAGAAGCAGAAACCUGCAGGCUGGUCCGAGGAAGAUGAGGACUGAGAGGACCGGCAGAGAUCUUUGGUCAUGGUCCAGGCUCAGAUUUCUGCUCCCUGGUUGAAUAAAUACAGAGAGAGUAUCAGCUGACCGCAGCUGUCCAUCUACAGAGUUUAUCAGAUCACCAACUAAAGAGACCAAACCCUCAGACCCAAAACCUUCAGACCCAAAAACCUUCAAACCCCUCUGAGGGGUUUCUACCAUCUUUUGUCAUUUCACUGACCUGGUGUACUGCUCUAACGCUCAGUAAAAACCACACUUGGGGACAGAUCCCCAAAAGUGAAGCCCAAACUUCAGAGAAGAUCCUAAAGCCUCUAAAGUCCUCUGAGGUACUGAAGAGAAAACUGAAAAACAACCUGAAUGACGUUCUCUCAAACAUGAACUCUGUGGAGAGGCUGGUGAUGUUAAAAACGGGUCAUGUGACCUUCUAAGGAAACAUCGCUGACACAGGAGUGACCGAACCAACAGAAGACUCUCUGGACUUUAACCAGUUAGGCGGAGAUUUCUGAUCUGUUACAGACCCCACACAUGAAGAUAAAAAAUCAGGCGUUGAACAGUUUUGAUCGAACUCUAAUCUCAACACACAACACUCAAAACGAUUCUGUUCCCCAAAACAGGUUUACCAAUAAAGGGCUCUAUUUUCGUUCCUCGCCGGCGGCGUGGCAUAAGCUCAGCGUAAGUCAGGUCCGCCACGCCAACAAGGUGUGCCCAAGAACAUUUUGGUAUUUUGGUGAGCGGUACAGCCUGGCGUAAGUAUCCCCCCUCCCUAAUUCAGCUCCUCCCAGAGGCGUAAGUCGGAGAGAGGGCGUGGAGUGGGUUUAACACAGCCGAGACCUGUUUCUGCAAUCAGACAAGCUCCUCUCCUCACCUUUAAAUCUGCCACCGGCGAGGCGUAUUACAAUUUUUGUGAAGUAGUCAAAGAGAUCAAGAGAUGGCUGAAGACAGCAAUGCCACAUGAUGGCGACGGCGGGCACGAAAAUAAAACCCAAAGUCAGUGAUCACCUGCUGCUCUUGGGCAUCAUUUUUAAAACUACAGGAGGAAAAAAAAAGUUUCAGAGCAGAAAUAAACGUCCGAACCUGGUUUGUUUUUGUACAUAAAGAUCGAGAGUUAAAUUACACCUCUGCUGGAGUUCAGGAGUCACAUGACAGGACCUUCGAAGCGCUGGUUCAGGUCUUUAACAAACUCAGACCUUUCCGCCAAGUCCGGCUCAGUGCCACCGGAGGCCUCUGUAAAGAGGGACUAUAGCUACACGCUAUUAAUGUUAGCCACACUCCCCAACAAAACCGGGAACAAAAAGCUACACAACACCCGACUCAUUCCUUUAACCAAAGUCACGCCAGCAAGGCUGCAGCGCCAUAAAUUAACGUCUGAUUAAAAAUGGCCGUCUCGCCCGCCAAAUUGUCAUCAAGUGGCACCAUUGAUACGGGCAACAAAACCGGGCACAUCACCAAUCAACCGUCUCAAAGAGGAGAGGAAGGAGCUAAAAACAACAUUCUUCAGCGGGUCGGUCUCUCAUGUGCUGGACGGGGAGGGGCGUUGAGGUUCUGGGGUAUGUAAAGCGGGGUACACAGGACCCAACAAAGGGGGGAGAGAGAGAGAGAGAGAGAGAGAGAGGGAGAGAGAGGGAGAGAGAGGGAAGGGCCACCCUGACAGCCCUGCAGCAGGUUUUUUUUUUUAGGGGGUACGAGAAGGAUGGAAGGCAGAGGCUCAGAGGGUGAGGGGGUGUGGGGGUGAGGGGGUGAGGGGGUGUGUUCCCCCUUCUUCAAAGCCUUUCCGCUGGUUCUGGGGCCCUGUGAGUGGGGGGUGCAGUGAAGGGGUGAGGGUGGGUGAGGGUAAAGGAGAGAAAGGGAGAAUUAAGGAGCCCUCUCUUUGUCUGCUGGCAUCAGGGGGGGUCGGUUAGACACUGAACGCCUCAGGAAGAUUAACCAGCUCGGCCCGGUCGGAAACUGAGGAGGGGAAGGUGGACCGAGGGAGGUGGGGGGAGACCAGGACCCGGCUUUGUUUCUGCUCCACGAUAGGAUGCUGCUGCUGCAGGAGAGGAGGAGGAGAGAUGGAGAUUGAUUGAUCAGAACAGUGAGGUGGGGGGUGUGGGGGGGUCUAAGCCGGUCCUGAGACGGAGAAAAGGAUCAGGGUUAGAUUUUUGAAAUAUGGAGGAAACGCCGCGCCCGGGGUCUGAAUGGUGGGAGUGAACGAGAGAGCGAGAACUGACAGAGAGGAAAAAGAGAGACGGGUAAGCCGGUGAGGAGGAGAGGAAGGAACGGGGGAGGAAACUGGGGAGGGGGGGGGGGGGGGUUUCCUCAAUACGGAUUAGUGCAGCUCGGAGAGGGUGAGAGGGAGGAGAGGGUGAGAAAGGAAAAGGAGGGAGGAGAGGAUGAAAGUUAGAGAGGGAGGGAGAAAAGGAGGGAGAGAGGGAGGGAGGGUGAGAAUGAAGAAUCGCCAUUCGCUUCACUCACUUCACUACACAGGAACAAAGCAUGAUGGGAGGUACUUGACAUAACACUUUUCCAGGCCAUGGUGGUGUGUGUGUGUGUGUGUGUGUGUGUGUGUGUGUGUGUGUGUGUGUGUGUGUGUGUGUCCACUAACUCCAAUGGAAGCUUCAUAAAUCUGAGAUUUAAUCAUUUCUGUAUUUUUGUUCAAACGUUGAUUUUACUCAAAACUUCUGAAGUUCUCGAAAACUAGACGGUGUUUUAUUUUCAGAACCGACCAGAACCAGAGAUGUAACCUCUAAAACGGCGAAGACGACCUCAGAACUGACCAGAAUCAGAAACUAACGACCUUUUAGUAGACGUUCAGGAUGAGGUGGAAAUUGGGGGUUACUGUUAAAACCGUGAAGACGACCUCAGAACCGACAAGGAUCAAAUAUUACAGAUAUUUAAAGCUGCUAAUUUGGUGACAGAUUAUAAAUGAGGAUCCUUAAAAGUAAACUAGAUGAUCAUCGGCGUAGAGACUGAACUUUUCAGAUUUGUUAUUUUGAUGUCAAACUCUUAAACUGUAAAUUCAUUUAAAAAAACAGUUGUAGUUAAUCGUCAUGAACCAUACACGUCACGAGGAGGCGUCAGUAUAAAAAAAUCUCCUGACUGCACCUUUAACCAUAAAAACAGGUUCCUACAAACAUGUGGGACGGUCCUUUUUGACUAUAAACUGUGGUGUGGUCCUUCUUAAAGGGAGAUUUUAGGUUCUUCAAACAUCACUCAGAAAAAUCAAAUAUCAUACAAUCCUGAUCACAGGCACAUUUCUGGACAGGUAUGGUGUGUUAUAACUUCACAAAGUGGUUUUAUUUGAUGCUGAUAUUUAAGUCCCCCAUGGAUAGACCUAAUAUCUAUGAAAAAGCUCACUCUGUCGUCUCUAAUCAGUAAAAUUAACCUGUCUAAGAGUCUUUAAAGUCAGAUGAAGUGAUUUUCUCAGCCCUCUGUUCAUCAGCUGAUCUGCUGACAGCGUUUUUACACAUUAAAAAUGACGUUUUAUUCACUCUAAUCCAUUUCUCUGUGAUGUUACUGGAUAAAACUCGACUCCCCGAUGAUUCUCAGAGAUGAACUCUGAAUUUCUCUCUAAUCUUCUCCUCCAUCUCUGAGAUUCAAAGGUGUGUAACAGGUGAGCGGAGAGCAGCAGCCUGCGGCUAACGACCCGGGGCGGCGUCUCAGAACCUUCAUUAAGGACUCAUUAAUUACAGGAACCAUCAAGAUUAUCUCCACAGGUGAGGGCCCACCAGGGAUACAGUCCCCCUUCAGAACUACAAAUACUGGGUCUGGUCCAGGUGAGACUCCGGCUCAGGUCUUUAAUCUGAGAGAGAUCUUCUAAAAACAUCAGUCAGCACGGACGCCGUCUGCUUCAGAGUCACCUCUACGGGAGAAUACAGAGACACUGUGUGUGUGUGUGUGUGUGUGUGUGUGUGUGUGUGUGCUGUUAUUAAUGGUGAGCGCUCAGGUGUGUGACAGCCUCUCUCUAUCCCAACAAACAAACAAAGAGGUGGUCGUAUUAUUUCGACAUCACAUCCUGUCAGAGGACGUCAUUAUUCUGCCACCGCCGUCUGAAAAACGCCAUCAGUGAGCGGCGGCACCCUCCAGCCGCUGUCAACAACACGGGCAAUUUAAGCCGCAGAGAGAGAGAGAGAGAGAGAGAGAGAGAGAGAGAGAGAGAGAGAGAGAGAGAAGGAGAGAGAGAGAGAGAGAGAGAGAGAGAGAGAGAGAGAGAGAGAGAGAGAGAGAGAGAGAGAGGGAGAGAGAGAGAGAGAGAGAGAGAGAGAGAGAGAGAGAGGAGCUAUUUUCAGGCUUGAGUCGGGUUAACAGGCCUGUCUGAAAUCUCUCUCUCUCUCUCUCUCUCUCUCUCUCUCUCUCUCUCUCUCUCUCUCUCCCUCUCCCUCUCCCUCUCUCUCUCCUCUCUCUCUCCACCCCCACCUCACCCCCAUCCCCCCCGCUCAUAUUUAUGCCGAUGAUGCGAGUUCAUGUGAAGACGCCGAGAGCUUUGUUUGGGACCUGUCACACUGAAGGCAGAAGGUGGGGUGGGAGCAGAGAGGCAUUGUGGGUGGAUUAGACCAGAACCAAAGUGGACCCCUCUGUCUUUCUCACACACACACACACAUGCUCCCCGCAGGUACAGUACCCGGCCCCCUCGCCUCCUUCUCAACCCUCCCCUCUGAUCAAUGGAGCUGAAACAAGGAGGCCAGGAGGGGCCUCUGGUUCCCACAUCAGACCCCACUGUAGCUGGUCUCCUCCCACCCCCCAAAUGGACCUUUACUGUACCCCAGACCUGGUCUCCGAGUCUGCAGGACCACAAGAAGCUACAUGAGAACAGAUCUGGACUGGGUCUGAGCGUCAGUGUGAGGGGCGGACAGUCCAGAUACAGAUCCAUCAGAACCAGAGAGGUCCAUCUAUGAACGAGUUUACGGCACCAGAACUGUAACAGUACAGUUAAACAGUUGGGUCGAGCUCAUAUGGACUCAGAGUUCACCCGCUGACCCAUGAACAGGAAGUUGAACAGAACAAAUAUGAUGUUAGGAAGGAUGAGAAAACCUCAACAAAGAAAAGACGACAAAGUUAACCGUCGUAUCGAACAAAAAUACGAUAAGGUUUCUCUCCGUUAGCUUCAGGCAGCUGUUGGCUAGCGUCAGAUUAAAUGUUGAUGAUUUCAAGAUGAAGAGAAAUUCACUGUCUGUUCGCUUUAAAAACAGACAUGUUCAUGUAUAACCCUAUAUUUCCACAGCGAUUUUCGCCGUUCGCCAAUUCUUACCAGAUCCGUUUGUGAGGCGAAUUUCACGACGGGAAUCGUGAGAACUCACAAGAACUCGCAGAUUCAAGACGUGUUAACUUGAAUGGUUACGAUCAGCUACGAUCGGAGGAUACGACCUUUUCAUAGACGAUCAGGAUGAAGGUGGAGAUCGGGGGUCAGACACCAAGAAAAGCAGACAAAGACAGUUUUGUUAAUUAUGAAGUAAAGUGAAAAUGAAAUUAUAUACAAGAGUCUUUUAACUCUUACACUAAUCUCAUAUUUCCUUCUUUAGCUAACGACAUAAAUCUUAAUCCCAGAUCGUUGGAUUAAACCCAACAGGCCGUCACUCAGAUGUAAAGUAGGAGAUACACAAUAGGAGAUACUGUAGUAACUCCACAAAAGGACUCAUCAGUAACAGUCAGUGAUUAAGCCUUCGGCAGGAUGAGAAAAGCUCAAUAGUCUUUGCACCUUCAGCCAUUAAGAGGAGAAAGAGAGAAGACCUCUGAACUUUCUCCUCCAAACAAAAACACUCUCUCCCUUAUCUCCUCUCUCUCUCUCUCUCUCUGUAAAGUCAGUGGUCCGACUCUCUCAAAGGAGCCCCGAGCCCCCGGCCCGCUCCUAUUGGUCCCUCCUUGCUCUCCCACACUGAGUGCCCAUGGCUCCUGAAGUGAUGCUCUUUGUGUGGGGUUCAGGGGUCGUGCCUAUUAGCGUGAAGAAAGCCCUGCUGGGUCUUAUCCCGACCCGGAGGAGGACGCAGGGCUCUUCACCUCAACGUCGGCCCGGCCAGCCCCCUCCCCCGGUCGGGACACUUUCAUCCUUUGUCAGAAGGUCAAUGAGCGAACCUCCAGAGGGGAAGGAGGGCCCCCCCCUCAAUAAUGAUAUGCAUGACAGUCAUUGUAUGACCCUCAUAGGGGGGUCAUGGUUGGUUGAGGUGGGUGGGACAAGCAGUGGGAGGAGGACUGGACCUGAGGAUGGUUAUCUUAUCCUGAAGUUACAGAAUGAUGGAGAUGAUGGAGGGGGGGUUCGGGGGUCUGCUGGUCUGUGACGGUUUGAUGACGUGAAAAUCGUGAAACGGCGAUGACGGUUAACACGGGUUCGAGCUUUCACCCAGAAAAGGUCAAAUAUCAACAGUAAUGUUCAACAGAUUCAGCCAACUGUAGAGGCUCUCUGUGACCCCCCACAAACACACACACACACACACACACACACACGCGCGCGCACACACACUCAUCUGAACCCCUAACCCCAGCCUUUCCUCAGGAGAUGGAUCUGAUUUGGUCCGCUUCACUCCCCUCUAAAUAUUUCAGCUAUUCGCCUUGAUAUGCAAAUGAGACGUUACAUAACAACAUCAUCAUCAUCAGGAGAGGCCCCGGGUUCGACACACGGACACGUCUCUAACUGCACUUUAAAUACCUGAGAGAAACACACGUCGAUACAGACACGACAUCUGAAUCCUAAAGUUUAUUUUAAUGACAUUUUAAAAGUCUUUUCUUAUUCAGUUUCACUUUACUGACCAGGGUCCUGCAGACUUACUGUUUUCUAUUUUAUAAACCAGAAACUUUCAAAAUGUUGAGAUUUCUAAGACGGAUAUUUUUAAGUGAUGAGUCUGAUUAAAAAUAAAAAAACUAAAAUCACAGAGUUUUUCUUGAGAUACUUGAGAAAGUUCAACAUAAUUCUUGUUUUUUGGACGGAGGCCUUCGUGUCCAAAAUCCCUCUAAAUGAUACGGAAAUUAAAGCUUUUUAGUUACUUUUAGUGACUAAAAUAAAUACUAAAUAAUAUAAUAUAAUACAAUAGUACAUAAUAGUAUAUAAUAUAAUACUACUAAAUACUAACUCCUCUUUAUGACCUUUGAAAAGAGACAGAAACACAAACAAUACCUCAAACAGACAUUACUUCACAUGUACGGGACAAACCCAGCAAAGAGAUAGAUGUACCUCUUUGUCCACAGGGGGCGCCAAAAUCCACAAACCAAAAAAUCACCCAUAGAAGCUUUAAAAUACUGAGAAACAGACAUGCAAGAUUCGAUACUGGUCAGUAUUCACACAACCGUCUGCUGUCAAUCACAUGAUGCUAACCAUGCCGGGUCAUGAUGCAUCAAUCAGCGCAGGAAUUUCUACCGCAUCCCUAACGUCUCCUAAAAGGUCGUAUCCUCCGAUCGUAGCUGAUCGUAACCAUUCAAGUUAACGUGUCAAUUUACACCGACUUCUUUCCGUUCCUCUGCGGAUCGCCGGACUCCUCAGCUGAUCACAAGAGUUCUAUUUUUUCAGACAUCGAAAUUUGUGGUCAGAACAUCCAGUUUCCUUUCAAAAUAAAACACUCCAUGUGG